GUGUUGCUUUGGCGGUACAUAUACUGAAACUGGAAUGACACAGGGAUUAGCAUGGCCUGUGCACAAGGCUUUAGUGUUCACUAGUCAAUACGUUAGUUAAAAUUUGUU
rnacentral:snRNA from 1 species